UACGUAUGGGGCAAGCGUUGUUCGGAGUUAUUGGGCGUAAAGGGCGUGUAGGCGGCUCGAGAAGUCUGGUGUGAAAUCGCAGGGCCCAACCCUGCGGGUGCGCUGGAAACUGACGGGCUUGAGUCCCGGGGGGGAAGCUGGAAUUCCUGGUGUAGGAGUGAAAUCUGUAGAGAUCAGGAAGAACACCGGUGGCGAAGGCGAGCUUCUAUUCGAGGACUGACGCUGAGGCGCGAAAGCGUGGGGAGCAAAC
rnacentral:rRNA from 1 species